AUGUGACAUUUGUUCUUCUGCUACAGGUGCUACAGGCUUCAACUUUGUGACACAGCGCUGGGAAGUGAUUGGUGGUUCAUGGAGGCAAGAGGAAAGAUUGGAUGCUGGCAGCACAGGAAACAGUAAGAAGUGGAAUUGACGGCUGUGGGUCUUGUCAGUUUGACCUUGAGAAGACCUUCUACUUGCCACACAGGACAAUACAGAUCAGUGUCUUUGGUUAUGGUAUACAUUGUAUACUUAUGAAAGGAUAACAGAAGUCAGCAAUCGUGGAUGAAAAAUGAAUUCAAAUUGAAGGCUUUGUAAAAUAAAUGAAGAGUGGAAAAUGCAUUCUGUGCGGGUGGACAAAAAAAUCAGGAAUGAUGGAUUCUGACCCUUCCACAGAUUUCCUGGAGCCCAAAGCUCUUCAAAUGGGCACUGCUCAUAAAUAUCCAGCUUACAAGUAUCAGUGUGGGACCAGAAUAAUUCUAGUCUUAAAAUCCAAUGCUUGGUUGCAAAUUGUCCUCAUCACCAGCUGAAGCUAAUGGAAGUGACAAACAUUCAGUACAACCGGAAACUGGAGUUCCUUUCAAACAUGAUCUGCGGUAAUUCUGCUGUGGUCAGGCUCUGAAAAGCACUUGAUAUCUUCUCAGAAAUAUGCUACAGAAAGUAGUGAAAAAAGAAAAAAACCCACUCUUUCGAAAGAUGAAUUAAAUCAUGGCUAAAUUCUAUAUCUAUUGAAAAAAAAACAAAACAAAACAAAAAAAAAACAAAAAAAACUGAGGAAACUUGAAGGAACCUUGAAGUGUGAGGUAGUAAUAUAGCUAGAGAGCAAGAAGUCUCAACAUCUCAGCUCCCCGUGGACUGACUGCAAGAUGGUACUGUUCUUUAGCAAAAUCAUCACAAAACUAUGCUCUCAGCUUACUCCACUGCUGCUACAGACAUGAUUUGAACAGCCUAUUUUGGACUAAUUUUAAUAGACCAGAUUGUGAUAAUGAUAUCAUUGUGGAUGUGUGGAUGCUUUAGUGUCACAAGAAUCAGUUCUUCUCAUCAUAACAAGAAGUUACUUUGAUCUCACAGUAUAGAAAUACUGCUGAAGACCAUUGCAGAAUCUCAUUAUUUUCUGUUGGGAAAAAUACAUGCAUACUGAAAUGGGUGCUUCAGUGGAGAUGUUAGUGAGCUAUAAAGUCUUUUCUGUUAUUAGUUGUGCCAGGCAAGCUGUUCAUGUAAUACAGGAAGAAAGUACAGCAUUACUUACUGUGCUUUACUUUUAGCGUCAGGAUUUUCUGUUCAUCUGCUGCUAUAUAUGUAUAUAUUUGACCGUGAAUUACAUUUGAGGAAAUAAACUUUGUCAAAUACUGGAAUAAGUUGCUCAGAGAAUCUUGGUUCUUGGGGAUGCUCAAAUCUCAGAAUUUAACAACUUCUAUGAUUUUAAAGGCGGGGGGUAGAUUCUAUGUCUAAGGAAAAGAUGUAAAAGUCAGAGUGAAAGCCAGUGUAAAGAACAAGAUAAAUAUCAGUACUGUUUAGUAAAUUACAAUAUACCACUGAACAAGGUAGCCCAUUUUCUAAAAGAUUUCCUAAACAGCAGUGCAAGACAUAUUUAAAAAUAUUUUCCCAUGAGGUUAAAAUUAAUUUUUCCACUUCCUGCUUCUUAAGUAUUCACUUCUUGAGUAUUCACUUUGGUUUAUACUCAUCUCUAAAAGUACAUUAUUAAUUAAAUAAGAACACCUAACGAGAUUGGAUUUUCAGCUUCUAAGCAAAGAGUAGGUUAGUGUCCGUUUUAGAGUUCCUAAUGUUUUUUUUCCAUGCAAAACAAUAAAGUGGAAAUGAAAAUUAUUGAAGAGCUGCAUCAUCUCAGGGAUGCCAUAAAUUUUAAGUGCUGACUCUGGCAGAGGCACAAUAAAGAGAAAGUAAAAAGCAUAUUAAAUAUCAACUAGAAUGCAUCUGUGUAGUAAGAUAUUGCUUUACUGGGGAGAAUGAGAUCAACAGGUUGGGUUUUUUUUUUGGCAAAAAAUUACCAAGAUUGGUCAUCUGUGCUCCCUGUUCAUUGUCUAUAUUUACGGUUCUCCACCAGCUCCCUCCCUCUCACAGAGCAACAAGCACAUGUUUUUCCUUGGAGCAACUUUCCCUGCAGAUAUUUCCUUGGCACUAAAACUGCAAACGAAAAGGCUGUAUUUCCAAUGAUUCUCUCUUUGCCGAUCCUACCCAGAUUAAAGGAGGAAAGUUUCUCUGGGU